AUUGAACGCUGGCGGCAUGCCUUACACAUGCAAGUCUAACGGUAACAGGUCUUCGGAUGCUGACGAGUGGCGAACGGGUGAGUAAUACAUCGGAACGUGCCUAGUAGGGGGGGAUAACUACUCGAAAGAGUGGCUAAUACCGCAUGAGAUCUACGGAUGAAAGCAGGGGAUCGCAAGACCUUGUGCUACUAGAGCGGCCGAUGGCAGAUUAGGUAGUUGGUGGGAUAAAAGCUUACCAAGCCGACGAUCUGUAGCUGGUCUGAGAGGACGAUCAGCCACACUGGGACUGAGACACGGCCCAGACUCCUACGGGAGGCAGCAGUGGGGAAUUUUGGACAAUGGGCGCAAGCCUGAUCCAGCCAUGCCGCGUGCAGGAUGAAGGCCUUCGGGUUGUAAACUGCUUUUGUACGGAACGAAAAGACUCUGGUUAGUACCUGGGGUCCAUGACGGUACCGUAAGAAUAAGCACCGGCUAACUACGUGCCGGCCGCCGCUGUAACAC
rnacentral:rRNA from 1 species